AUACUACUCCCUCCGUUUUGAAUUAUUUGUCGCAAGUAUGGAUGUAUCUAGAUGUAUUUUAAUUUUAUAUACAUCCAUUUCUACGACGAGUAAUUUGAAACGGAGGAAGUACUAG
rnacentral:pre_miRNA from 1 species